GUGAAUCAUCGAAUUUUUGAACGCAUAUUGCACUCUCCGGUAUUCCGGAGAGUAUGCCUAUUUGAGGGUCAUUUGAAAUAAUAUAAAUUCCAAGAUUUCUCGGCUUUUAAAAUGGUUUGUCCAUUUUUUGUGGUCGCCUAAAAUCGAAGGAAAGCACAUUUUCUUUUGUUGCGUGAUACUUUCAGUUAC
rnacentral:misc_RNA from 1 species